GCUGGCGUAGCUCAAUUGGCAGAGCAGCGGUUUUGUAAACCGCAGGUUGGGGGUUCGAUUCCUCUCGCCAGCUCCA
rnacentral:tRNA from 1 species